rnacentral:rRNA from 1 species
AUUGAACGCUGGCGGCAGGCCUAACACAUGCAAGUCGAGCGGGGUUUUCGGACCUAGCGGCGGACGGGUGAGUAAUGCGUAGGAAGCUGCCCGAUAGAGGGGGAUACCAGUUGGAAACGACUGUUAAUACCGCAUAAUGUCUACGGACCAAAGUGUGGGACCUUCGGGCCACAUGCUAUCGGAUGCGCCUACGUGGGAUUAGCUAGUUGGUGAGGUAAUGGCUCACCAAGGCGACGAUCUCUAGCUGGUCUGAGAGGAUGAUCAGCCACACUGGAACUGAGACACGGUCCAGACUCCUACGGGAGGCAGCAGUGGGGAAUAUUGGACAAUGGGCGCAAGCCUGAUCCAGCCAUGCCGCGUGUGUGAAGAAGGCCUUCGGGUUGUAAAGCACUUUCAGCGAGGAGGAAGGGGUGUGUGUUAAUAGUACACACCUUUGACGUUACUCGCAGAAGAAGCACCGGCUAACUCUGUGCCAGCAGCCGCAGUAAAAC